AGCUUUAUAAGCAGCUGCAUAUACCAAAUACACAAUUGUCAUAAUUAAAUCAGACAUAAAACUUUUAUUCAUAUCAUAAGCUCAGACACAUUUACCUUGCAGAAGAGUGAUUCAAAACAGUCAACAUGAAAAUAUCAAAAAUCUCACUUGUACUCGUAACCAUGUUAAUGUUGCUUAGCAACUCAAGUCAGACACAUGAGAAUGUAAAUCCUGGACAGAAACACAAGCAACCAAAUGGUUUCAGUAUUGAGAAAAAUUAUCUGAGCAAGAGUAGAACAAGAAUAAAGAAAACCUGUCGGAAUGUGUGCUUUUUUAACACAUGCCGAGAUUUAUGCUGGUACAUUACUGUAUAUUCCACUUGAAGGAAUAAAAACAUGUAAAUAUGUUUGUAGAUACACGAUGAAAAUUUA